AUACUGCUGAGCUAGGGACCGGGAGAGGCCGAGGGUAUUCCCGGGGUAGGGGUGAAAUCCUGUAAUCCCGGGAGGACCACCUGUGGCGAAGGCGCUCGGCUGGAACGGGUCUGACGGUGAGGGACGAAGGCCUGGGGAGCGAACCGGAUUAGAUACCCGGGUAGUCCAGGCUGUAAACGAUGCGGGCUAGGUGUCACCGGAGCUACGAGCUCCGGUGGUGCCGGAGGGAAGCCGUUAAGCCCGCCGCCUGGGAAGUACGGCCGCAAGGCUGAAACUUAAAGGAAUUGGCGGGGGAGCACUACAACGGGUGGAGCCUGCGGUUUAAUUGGAUUCAACGCCGGGAAGCUUACCGGGGGAGACAGCGGGAUGAAGGUCGGGCUGAAGACCUUACCAGACUAGCUGAGAGGUGGUGCAUGGCCGCCGUCAGUUCGUACUGUGAAGCAUCCUGUUAAGUCAGGCAACGAGCGAGACCCGCGCCCUCAGUUGCCAGCGGGUCCCUUCGGGGACGCCGGGCACACUGAGGGGACUGCCGGCGCUAAGCUGGAGGAAGGUGCGGGCAACGGCAGGUCCGUAUGCCCCGAAUCCCCCGGGCUACACGCGGGCUACAAUGGCCGGGACAAUGGGUACCGACCCCGAAAGGGGUGGGUAAUCUCCUAAACCCGGUCUAACCUGGGAUCGAGGGCUGCAACUCGCCCUCGUGAACCUGGAAUCCGUAGUAAUCGCGUCUCA
rnacentral:rRNA from 1 species